CGUGUUUAUUUGUCCGUCCGUCCAUCUGUCUGUCUGUCUGUCUGUGCAGAACUGCAUAUGUCCCAGGACCUAUCACUCAGGGCCACAAUUCAGGUUCCAGAGCUGACCUAGAGUGAAGAUCCUACAGGGUUUUUAAUGCACAAACAUCUGUACCAAGUUAUUCCACCAAUCUGGACUUAGGGAUAAGGGGAAUUCCUUAGGAACAUGUCUUUGUUGUAUACUUAUCCUGCUCCCAUUAAUUGGGGUACUCUACUGUGGCAAGGGUACUUGCCAUGUCUUAACUUGCAAACCAGAAAGUCAGUUGCGCACGAACAAGUCUCUUUCUUCCAAGUAAGAUGUCAGUUCCCUGGGCGGCCUUGGGAACUUACACUUUACUCACUCACACCCUACUCAAAAUAGAAGUCUGAUUCCAAGUAGUCUGUGCACUGAAUCGGUGGUGUGAGUGUCUCUCUUUUGUUGGGGGGGGGGCGGUCCAUCCCCAGGGCAGCUUCUAAGAGCAAAUGCCAGAAAAGUGUAUACAUGGGUGGGUGCAGGAAAUGCUGCUGGGUGGUCAGUUUGGGUCCAAGCCUAUUGCAGAUAACUAUAGAACAAAGGAAGCUUCUAUCGUGAUUGGUUUCCGAGGACACAUCCAACGAGACUAUGUAAUCAAUUCUGGCGAAACAAGCUAUGAGAAAGUGUCCUUAUAAUAGUAGUUAACAGCACAAAAUGGCAGGCUAGCCAGGUAAGAGGUUACCUAGCCCUUAUGUAAUCUGAGGAGGCC
rnacentral:lncRNA from 1 species